AUCCCUGUAGCGCAAUUGAUAGUGCGUUGGGCUUCUAAUCCAAAGGUUCGGAUCCCACCUGAGAUG